rnacentral:rRNA from 1 species
UACGUAGGGUGCAGGCGUUGUCCGGAAUUAUUGGGCGUAAAGAGCUCGUAGGCGGUCUGUCGCGUCGGCUGUGAAAACCCGUGGCUCAACCGCGGGCCUGCAGUCGAUACGGGCAGACUAGAGUGCGGUAGGGGAGACUGGAAUUCCUGGUGUAGCGGUGAAAUGCGCAGAUAUCUGGAGGAACACCAGCGGCGAAGGCGGCUUCCUGGCCUGUAACUGACGCUGAGACGCGAAAGCGUGGGGAGCGAACCGG